UCCGGUAUGGUGUAGUGGCUAACAUCGCUCGCUCUCAAUUUCCCUUCCUCUCUACUCGAGGAAAUGGGGUUGUGGUUCCGAGCAGCCCAGGGUUCGAUUCCCUGUACCGGAG